rnacentral:sRNA from 1 species
AAGUGAAUAAGUUUGUGGAUUUUCUAGUGAUUAGUGAAGAAUCGUAAUAUAUGAUUUGGAUAUUAUUGAUUAUUGAUUUCGUGAUUGAAUAUAGUGUUUUUAGGGAUGGAAUGUGAUCAUAUAUUGAUUUGAAAAACGACAUAGAUUCUUUAUUUUUGUUGAACGGUUUAGAUUGAAGGGAAUUAAUUUUAUUGAACGGUUUAGAUUGAAUCGGAUCAUAUACAGUUUAGGAGAUUGUUAAGACCAAAUUAUCCUAAAUGAUUUUGAAUAGCGAGAAAAAAUUCCAAAAUUGAAAUCAAAAUUGAGGCCAAAUUAGACCAAAUUUCAAUUUGUACUUCCUUUUUAAUAAUAAAGGGAUUAGAUUGAAAUUGUUAAAAUUUCAAUAUAGUAUAC